GCAGGGCGAGGCUGCCGGGCUGUCAGCUCACAUCGGGCGGCUGAGCACUGGUUGCUGAACCCCUCCCUCGCCCCCGUUCUUGGAGAAGAACAGCAUGGGGAAGAAGUGGAGGACAUGCUGUAUUUUCCUGUCAGUUGCCUUCAGCUUAGUGGCCAUUGGUCUGAUUGCCUGCGUGGUCUAUAUCUCCUUUGCCCCGACCCAGCUGAGACAGUGCCAGGAGCAGCUGAAGAACGACACCUCCGCUCUGACGGGGAAACUCGCCACGCUGGAGGUGGAGAAGGGGGCCCUGGAAAGGCAGCGGGACGGGGCGCGGGCAGAGGUCACGGCGCUGCGGUCGGAGCUGGCUGGCACCAAUCAGACCCUCUGGGAGACGCGCGGGCGCUGGGACUCCUGCAGGAGCCUGAUGCGCGUCCUGCAAAACAACAUCACUGCCCUGAAGGACGAAAUCACCCAGCUGGGAGGCCCAGACACUGAGCAAGGACCGGGACAAGGUGAAAUUGACAAGCUCAGACAGCUGCUCCAGGAGGCUCAGCAGCAGAGUGAUGAACUCCAAGCUGACAUCCAGCGGCUGGAACAGCAGCAGCUCCAUUGCCAGAGGAAUCAGAGCUCUGGUGGGAGCAGCCUCCGGAUCCCCAUCGUGGCCAGCUACCUGAGCCUGCUGGCUCUGCCCCUCACCGGGAUCCUGCUCCGCUGAGAGAAGCAGGGAGACGGGUUCCUGCCCAGCCCAGCUGGAAGGAUCCCGUUGGCUCCUGCCCCGCACUGGAAGACGAUGGCGAAACGGUGAAGAAGAUCCAGCCGGUGAAGAACGCAUGGAGGAUGGAGCCAAUUCAUCCAGAGCCCCUGGGGUUGCUUGGCAGGAGGUUGCCCCAGAUGACGGUUGCCCUGAGCGGGGUUAAGCCCCAGCUGGGGUAUUUGCUGCUCCCUUAGGGUUUCUAUUUUUCUAAUAAAAUGUUGCCAACCCCAAAGGUUUGUGGUGUCCUUUGUCCUCCCAC
rnacentral:lncRNA from 1 species